rnacentral:rRNA from 1 species
UACGUAGGAGACGAGCGUUGUCCGGAGUUACUGGGCGUAAAGGGUGCGCAGGUGGCGGCGCGCGUGGGGGGUGAAAUCGCCCGGCUUAACUGGGCGGGGGCCUUCCAGACGGCGUGGCUUGAGCAGCGGAGGGGGACGUGGAAUUCCGGGUGGAGCGGUGAAAUGCGUAGAGAUCCGGAGGAACACCGACGGCGCAGGCGACUCGCUGGACAAGUAUUGACGCUGAGGUGCGAAAGCGUGGGGAGCAAACAGG